rnacentral:rRNA from 1 species
AUUGAACGCUGGCGGCAGGCCUAACACAUGCAAGUCGAACGGUAACAGGAAGCAGCUUGCUGCUUCGCUGACGAGUGGCGGACGGGUGAGUAAUGUCUGGGAAACUGCCUGAUGGAGGGGGAUAACUACUGGAAACGGUAGCUAAUACCGCAUAACGUCGCAAGACCAAAGAGGGGGGCCUUCGGGCCUCUUGCCAUCGGAUGUGCCCAGAUGGGAUUAGCUAGUAGGUGGGGUAACGGCUCACCUAGGCGACGAUCCCUAGCUGGUCUGAGAGGAUGACCAGCCACACUGGAACUGGGACACGGUCCAGACUCCUACGGGAGGCAGCAGUGGGGAAUAUUGCACAAUGGGCGCAAGCCUGAUGCAGCCAUGCCGCGUGUAUGAAGAAGGCCUUCGGGUUGUAAAGUACUUUCAGCGGGGAGGAAGGGAGUAAAGUUAAUACCUUUGCUCAUUGACGUUACCCGCAGAAGAAGCACCGGCUAACUCCGUGCCAGCAGCCGCCGUAA